rnacentral:lncRNA from 1 species
GCCGGGUCAUGGUUCCCGUGGAUAUUUCCCAUGGUUCGGAUUUGGCCGGUUGCACCUGCAUGGUAACAUUUGGCAGGUCCCCCGUCCCAGGAUGCCAGAUGUCUGUGCCACCCUGGGCCUCCUGGUGCGGGCCUGCCUUGUUUCAGCGUAGCUUAAAUGACAAAAGUUGUGGCCCCAUGUUGAAACAGGGAGGACUAACUCCUGGGAACCCUUCACCAGGGACAGAUACAUUCCCCAGCUUCCCCACCUUCUGUGGGCCCUGUUCUAGAUGGUUCUUCAGGAGGUCCCCAGCUGGACUGAGCCCAGUCACCCAGGGGUAACCAUCCCUGAUUGGUCUUGUUGUUAAUGUAUUAGUAAAGGGUGAGCAACUGCUUUGUUUUCUGUUCCCCCAGGUUUCACUUUCCUCCUUCCCUCACUUCUUCCGGGGACCGUCUCCCACGUGAAACCCUCUGCCCCAAACCCUCGUCUCAAGCCCUUCCUCUGGUGACUCCAGAGGGCUGGCCAGAUUUAGGUUCCUUUUCUUUUUCUCUUUUUGGUAGUUUGGCGUCUCAGGUGCUGCAGUGUGCUUUCUGUUGUCCCUUACUGCCCCGGCAGCGUGUCCGAUGGGGUCCUGCUAGUAUUUGUGCCUUAGAAUAUCAGGGAUCCAGCGGGAAGCUUCCAGAGCCUUCCUCUGAUCUUACCUUGCAACCAUUCUGGACGGACUCCCCCUGCAUUUAUAGCUAAGCUCUUCCACUGCUGAUAGAUGUUUUCUGCCUUUAGGUAGCACGCUUUCCGUUCAACAGGAGGUGACGUGUCUGGCCCCCCUCAUGUGUCUCUCAAAGCAGCAGCAUUUGGUUCCCCUCCCCUCCACAGAGCCUUCGUGCAUGAGUCAUUUCUGCUGGGGGUCUGUGUGUUUUCAAGUCCUCGUGGACAGAACACUUGGUAUCACAAAAAUAGAAGCUCAUCCAAGGAACUUAAGAAAUGCAGCAAGGAUUCUGAGAUACAUACUUACAGGCAAAACAAGAACUCCUUGGGGAAUGAUGUUACAGUACCCCAAACCUGACCAGCAUCCCCAUGUGCUACACCAAGAAGGAUCCAGUUGCAAAGUGGAGGAAACAAAUGCAGGUCAGAGGUGCUGGUAA